rnacentral:rRNA from 1 species
UUCCUACGGGCCGCAGCAGUGAGGAAUAUUGGUCAAUGGGAGAGAUCCUGAACCAGCCAAGCCGCGUGAGGGAAGACGGCCCUAUGGGUUGUAAACCUCUUUUGUCAGGGAGCAACGCCGGCUACGUGUAGCCGGACUGAGAGUACCUGAAGAAAAAGCAUCGGCUAACUCCGUGCCAGCAGCCGCGGUAAUACGGAGGAUGCGAGCGUUAUCCGGAUUUAUUGGGUUUAAAGGGUGCGUAGGCGGAAUGCCAAGUCAGCGGUAAAAUCGCGGGGCUCAACCUCGCUCCGCCGUUGAAACUGGCG